CCGCGGUAUCAAGGAAAACCACAUCAAAUUCAAAGGAGAAACUCAAAUCAAAUGCAGAGCAAAAGACUCACCCUCGAUGCUGUCAGUGGCCGCACGAGCAAACGCCAAUCCGUGUUGUCGCGCUCCGUCGUCGAUGAUUCAUAUGCUUUUGGUUGUGUUUAUGAAGACGUACGUUUCUCCGUGUUCGUGCCUGGUUGAUCAAGACGAUGAUGAAGAUUGAGGACGACUUUCGAUCCGUGCCCUGCGUUUUUGAGAUGAAGAGUGAAUGAGAGUUCCGGUAUGCCUCUAUUUCAAAAUUCCUUCGAUUUUUCUCUUCUCCAUCUUUUACUAGAUGUAGCUUUUUUUCUUGUGAUAUUGUUGCUCUGUUGUUGAGCUUCUUCUUCCCCUUGUUUCUCGUUUCUCUCCUUCUGUUUGAGCUUGAUUGAGGAGUUUUAGUUAUGGAGUUAGAGGUUUGAGGGAGUUUUGAAGCAGUUAGGUUCUCUGUUUUUUUUUGAAGUUGGAGAGAGUUGUGAGGGAAGGUUUGAGUUAUAGAGGUUGGUUCUGUUAUGUGUGAUGGAGGGUGAAGAAGUGUGAGAGUUUCUUGGCAGGGUUCUAUUAUGGAAUUGGAGGAGGAUGAAGAAGUGUGAGGGAAGUGAGGGUGAAGGUGUUUGAUGGUUCUGUUGAGGGAGUUAUAGGAGGUUGGAGAAGUUAGUUAUGAAGAGAGUUCAAUUUCAUUUUCUGUUAUCUUUUGCAGGGUUCUGGUAUUAUCAGUUAGAAUUGCUUUCAUUCAGUUAUAGGGAGAUUGGAAAUCGGUUACAGGUAGCUAGAGAGUCUGUUAGAAAUUUUCUGUGAGUUUUCUCUUGUGAAAUUCUGUUGUGAAUGCUGAAUGUAUGCAAGCUGCUGCUACUGUUAGGAUGAUAGGUUUGAUUGAAAUGGCUUGGCAACAAAAAUGUUGAUGCUUUAAUGAAAUUUUGAUGUGUGAUGCAUUGCAUGCUAAGCUGAUGUUUGCUUUGUAUGUUAUGUUAACACUUGAAAUUAAUUGGCCUGCUGGUUGAGCUUGGUUCAGUUAAUGUCAUUGUAAGUCUACAAAUGAAUAUGCUUGAAAUGUUAUGCAUAAAUUUUAUGUGUGAAUGCAUUAUUGUGAAAUGUAUGCUAGCUGGUGCAGGGUUAUGUUAGAUGAAUCAAUUAAAUGCAUAACUAUUGUUGUUUAGUAGUUAGUUUGUAAUGCAUAUGUUGGUAUGUAAUGUUAACAUGGAUGAUGGAUAGGGCUGCUAGCAUGCUUUGUAGUAUGUGACUGCCAUGAGAUGUUUGGUAUGAAUAGAAAUGCUAGCUUGCUUGUUUGUUAGUAUGUGAAUAUAUUGCUGAGUGAUUGGAAAUGUGGGCUCGCUAGCAUGAAUUGUUAUGCUUGUUACGAUGAUAGUUUGCAUUGUUUUUCAUGAUUAUGCAAUGAGGCUAUUUUGUAAUGAUUGUUAUUGCUUGUGAAAAUAUGAAUGUUUGAUGUGUCAUGUGUGGUUAAUGUUAAUGAUGGAAUAUGCUAUGUUACUUGGAAAUGUGGUUAAUGUUAAUGAUGGAAUAUGCUAUGUUACUUGGAAAUGUGUAUGGUUAUGUUUUUAUUAUGAAUGGUGAUUGAUGAAUGUAUUAUGAUAAAAUACAUGAUAAUGCAUUGCUUGGAAUGGUUUUGUAGGGUAUGCAAAAGUGCGGAUUUGAAUUGAACAAGGCCUAAGCAUGAAGACACAUGAGAACAUGGUGAAUGCAGUAUUAAAAGCAAAUGGAUCCUUGAAGAUUCAAAAAGAUGACUGGGUGGAGAAGCAAUGCAAGAAAUAGGGUUUAGGAUGGUAAAAGUAGACAGUUGACUUUGGUCAACUGGUUGACCAAAAAGUCAAUAGUUGACCAAAAGUCAACUUAGGUAAAAAAAAUGUAUUUUUUUUGGAUGAAAUGAUAUGUAAUGACUUAUAAUGUAUUGUAAUGGUACUUUGCAAUGCUAUAUUAAUAUUUCCUUUGAAAUGAAUGGACUUGGGUUGAAUCAUGAAAUGAAUUUGAUUGAAAAUGAAUUUGAAUUUGAAUAACA
rnacentral:lncRNA from 1 species